rnacentral:rRNA from 1 species
CGGAUGCGGACAGCGGAUGGCGGGGGCUUGCUCCUUGAUUCCCGGGGGACGGGUGAGUAAUGCCUAGGAAUCUGCCUGGGAGUGGGGGACAACGUUUCGAAAGGAACGCUAAUACCGCAUACGUCCUACGGGAGAAAGCAGGGGACCUUCGGGCCUUGCGCUAUCAGAUGAGCCUAGGUCGGAUUAGCUAGUUGGUGGGGUAAUGGCUCACCAAGGCGACGAUCCGUAACUGGUCUGAGAGGAUGAUCAGUCACACUGGAACUGAGACACGGUCCAGACUCCUACGGGAGGCAGCAGUGGGGAAUAUUGGACAAUGGGCGAAAGCCUGAUCCAGCCAUGCCGCGUGUGUGAAGAAGGUCUUCGGAUUGUAAAGCACUUUAAGUUGGGAGGAAGGGCAGUAAGUUAAUACCUUGCUGUUUUGACGUUACCGACAGAAUAAGCACCGGCUAACUCUGUGCCAGCAGCCGCGGUAAUACAGAGGGUGCAAGCGUUAAUCGGAAUUACUGGGCGUAAAGCGCGCGUAGGUGGUUUGUUAGUUGGAUGUGAAAGCCCCGGGGCUCAACCUGGGAACUGCAUCCAAACUGGCAAGCUAGAGUACGGAGAGGGUGGUGGAAUUUCCUGUGUAGCGGUGAAUGCGUAAUAUAGAAGGAAC